rnacentral:rRNA from 1 species
AGCGAACGCUGGCGGCAGGCUUAACACAUGCAAGUCGAGCGGGCAUCCUUGUGGUGUCCGCGGCAGACGGGUGAGUAACGCGUGGGAACGUGCCCUUCGGUUCGGAAUAACUCAGGGAAACUUGAGCUAAUACCGGAUACGCCCUUUUGGGGAAAGGUUUACUGCCGAAGGAUCGGCCCGCGUCUGAUUAGCUAGUUGGUGAGGUUAUGGCUCACCGAGGCGACGAUCAGUAGCUGGUCUGAGAGGAUGAUCAGCCACACUGGGACUGAGACACGGCCCAGACUCCUACGGGAGGCAGCAGUGGGGAAUAUUGGACAAUGGGGGCAACCCUGAUCCAGCCAUGCCGCGUGAGUGAUGACGGCCUUAGGGUUGUAAAGCUCUUUUCUCCGGGACGAUAAUGACGGUACCGGAGGAAUAAGCCCCGGCUAACUUCGUG